CUACGUGCCAGCAGCCGCGGUAAUACGGAAGGUCCAGGCGUUAUCCGGAUUUAUUGGGUUUAAAGGGAGCGUAGGCCGGAGAUUAAGUGUGUUGUGAAAUGUAGACGCUCAACGUCUGACUUGCAGCGCAUACUGGUUUCCUUGAGUACGCACAACGUUGGCGGAAUUCGUCGUGUAGCGGUGAAAUGCUUAGAUAUGACGAAGAACUCCGAUUGCGAAGGCAGCUGACGGGAGCGCAACUGACGCUUAAGCUCGAAGGUGCGGGUAUCGAACAGGAUUAGAUACCCUGGUAGUCCGCACAGUAAACGAUGGAUGCCCGCUGUUGGUACCUGGUAUCAGCGGCUAAGCGAAAGCAUUAAGCAUCCCACCUGGGGAGUACGCCGGCAACGGUGAAACUCAAAGGAAUUGACGGGGGCCCGCACAAGCGGAGGAACAUGUGGUUUAAUUCGAUGAUACGCGAGGAACCUUACCCGGGCU
rnacentral:rRNA from 1 species